CCUACGGGCGGCAGCAGUGGGGAAUAUUGCACAAUGGGCGCAAGCCUGAUGCAGCCAUGCCGCGUGUGUGAAGAAGGCCUUCGGGUUGUAAAGCACUUUCAGCGGGGAGGAAGGCGGUGAGGUUAAUAACCUCAUCGAUUGACGUUACCCGCAGAAGAAGCACCGGCUAACUCCGUGCCAGCAGCCGCGGUAAUACGGAGGGUGCAAGCGUUAAUCGGAAUUACUGGGCGUAAAGCGCACGCAGGCGGUCUGUCAAGUCGGAUGUGAAAUCCCCGGGCUCAACCUGGGAACUGCAUUCGAAACUGGCAGGCUAGAGGCUUGUAGAGGGGGGUAGAAGUCCAGGUGGAGCGGUGAAAUGCGUAGAGAUCUGGAGGAAUACCGGUGGCGAAGGCGGCCCCCUGGACAAAGACUGACGCUCAGGUGCGAAAGCGUGGGGAGCAAACAGGAUUAGAUACCCGGGUAGUC
rnacentral:rRNA from 1 species